AAAACCUCGUGGAGCUGUUACUCAGGCAUGGUGCCAAACUGGAUGCCAAGAAUAAGAAGGGCAGUACCCCACUAACUCUUGCUAUCACUGAAGAACACAAGGAGAUAUUAGAAGAUCUCCUGAAAGCAGGAGCUGAUGUGCAUGCUCGAGAUGAGCAUGAAAGAACCCCACUGAUGAUUGCUGCUUCUGUUGGGGAGAUGCGUUUGGUCAAAGUUCUCCUUUCUCACGGAGCCAAUUUUUCCC